GUAUGCCUAACUCCUGGUACGCCACUCGACUCAACCACUCCAACAUGGUAAGUGAUUUCGUCGUGGGGCAUACAGGGAGCUAGGCAUAU
rnacentral:pre_miRNA from 1 species